ensembl:lncRNA
AAUCAAUAUGAAAAAAACAUAAAAACAAGAAAAAAAAAAGAUUUACUUUAUGGUAAUAUAAAUAUAAACAAAUAUAUAUACAAGAAUGAGCAAAUUUAUUUUUCUUUCCUUUUAAUUCAUGAAAUUUUGUUAUCAUGUAAAAGUUUUUAUUAUAAUUUUUCUUCUACAUAUUUAUCCGUAUUUGUUUAUACAUUAUAUUGGUUAAAUAAUGAAAACCACAUUAACCAGAUUUAUAUAAACAACUUAAAUGAAAAAGAGGAUCAAGAAAAAAGGUAUAUUGUUCAACAAUAUCAUGAAUAUUAUCAAAAUAAAACGGUUUUUUUUGGUUCCAAUAUGUUGAGGGAUGACACCAUUGAUUGGCAUAGGAGGGAUAUGCAUAGACGGAGUAGUCACGUGGGAAGCAGUCGUAGGAAGAUAAGUUAUAGGGACCAUCAUAGGGACCAUCAUAGGGACCAUCAUAGGGACCAUNNNNNNNNNNACCAUCAUAGGGACCAUCAUAGGGACCAUCAUAGGGACCAUCAUAGGAACCAUCAUAGGGACCAUCAUAGGGACCAUCAUAGGGACCAUCAUAGAAACCAUCAUAGAGACCAUCAUAGAGACCAUCAUAGAGACCAUCAUAGAAACCAUCAUAGAAACCAUCAUAGAGACCAUCAUAGUGAUUAUCAUAGAGACCAUCAUAGGGACCAUCAUAGGGACCAGCAUAGGGACCGUCAUAAGGAAAACCUUAGAGAGAGCAAUAACAUGAAUAAUGAUAUAAGAAAAAACAAAAAUAGUAAAUACGAUAGAAACAGAAAUUCCAAAAAUGUGAUAGACAAAAUCGCUAGAGAACAUAAACUGCGUCACAAAAGUUGUUCCAAAGAUAAAAAUGAAAAAAGAAUAGAAGGUUAUGAUAAAAAUAAAUGUAUUAAUUAUAAUGAUAUAAUAAAAAGUAUAAAAGAUUUAAUAUUUAAUUUAAAAGUAAAAAAAAAAAAUAAUAAUAAAAAUUAUAAUCAUUAUUUAAAAUAUAAAAUAAAUGAAGAUUUUGAUAUAUACCCAUUUUUGAGUGUAUUAUAUUUUAAAAAGAUACAGGAAACGGAAAGUGAAACAAGAACAAGUAUUAGGAAUGAAAAAACAUUUUUAAAUAAUAGUAAAAAGAAUAAACAACAAAAAAUAGGAAAAACAAAUAGAAACGAUUAUUUUAAUAGUCGAGUCAAUAAAAAAGAAACUAGCGAAUUGAAAGAUUGUAAUAAAAGUGAUAUAAUAAAAACUGAAAAGUUAUUUUUGAUAAAAAAAUGUAUACCUUCUAUUAAUAAUGAUGAACUUUUGCUUAAAGAAAAGAUUAAUUAUUAUAAAACUCAAUUAAAUUAUUAUAAUAAUUUGAAUAAACUGUCAAAUGUACAUAAUAAUGUUUUGCGUUCCUCACAUGAAAUGUGUGCAUAUGCAAAAAUGUUGGGGUUAAAGGAUGACAAUAACGAUGAUCAUAAUUAUAUACAAAAAAGAAUACUACCACCUUAUAAUGAUAAUUCGAAAUAUAAUAAUAAAAAAAAACAUUCAAGUUUAGAUAAGAUUAAAAGUGAUAAAAAAAAGGAAGCAUAUGAUACCUACAUUGUUGCAGUGAACGAUAUUAAAACAAAAGACAAAAUACUAACUCGAAAAGAUAUUAAAAAUAUAAAAAAAAAUAUAAAUAUAGCUAGAUUCUAUUCCCUUAUACAAAAUAUAAAUAAUAAUAAUAAUAAUGAAGAAAAUAAAAAUGACGAUAAUAUACUUUUUAAAAUGCUAUGUCAAAAAUAUAUCUUAUUUAAUAAUGAAGCUAACAAACAUGUAAGGGAAAAUAAAAAUAUAAAUAAAAAAUAUGAGCAUAUGUUAAACGCAACAAAACAAUUGUUUGAUAAAGCUGUUGUUCCUGGUGCGAAUGUGUUGAUGAGUUUUCCUAUGAGUAGACCUACUAUUAUAAGUGAUGGGAAGGGUAAGUCAAAAGAUAUUUAUGACAGUAUUAGUAAAGGCGGUAGUAGCAAAAGUAGUGGUAAAAGUAGUAACAAAAGUAGUGGUAAAAGUAGUAACAAAAGUAGUGGUAAAAGUAGUAACAAAAGUAGUGGUAAAAGUAGUAGCAAAAGUAGUGAUAAAAGCAGUAGCAGAAGUAGUACCAGAAGUGGUAGUAUAUGUAGUAGUAUAAGUAGUAGUGUAUGUAGUAACGAAGGUACGGAAGAAAGUACGGACGAAAGUAUUAGCAGUAGCCACAUUUUUAACUCUCAAUGUAAGCAAACUAAGAGUGUAACUAAAAAUGAGUCUGUUUUUAAUACUGAUAAAUAAUGUACUCUACAUAAAUAUAGAAAAUAAAAAAAAUAGUUUAUC